CUCCCAGACUCCUACGGGAGGCAGCAGUGGGGGAUAUUGCACAAUGGGGGGAACCCUGAUGCAGCGACGCCGCGUGGGUGAAGGAGCGUUUCGGCGCGUAAAGCCCUAUCGGCAGGGAAGAAGGAGGACGGUACCUGACUAAGAAGCCCCGGCUAACUACGUGCCAGCAGCCGCGGUAAUACGUAGGGGGCAAGCGUUAUCCGGAUUUACUGGGUGUAAAGGGGGCGCAGACGGCAGCGCAAGCCAGGAGUGAAAGCCCGGGGCCCAACCCCGGGACUGCUCUUGGAACUGCGCGGCUGGAGUGCAGGAGGGGCAGGCGGAAUUCCUGGUGUAGCGGUGAAAUGCGUAGAUAUUAGGAGGAACAUCAGUGGCGAAGGCGACUUUCCGGACUGUAACUGACGCUGAGGCACGAAAGUGUGGGGAGCAAACAGGAUUAGAUACCCGCGUAAA
rnacentral:rRNA from 1 species